ensembl:lincRNA
GUUGCGUACACUGCGCAUGGCUGGCUAUUUCCUAAUGGACAGACACUUGCUGGCUGCCUUAGCGAAGUGCAGAAAAGAUGGCGCCGGACAGUGUUCUGCGUAGUGACCGCGUAGUGACCGCGCAGCGACGCACAGCAUCCGUCUUAUAAGAAAGCUAAGUAAAGGUGGAAUACUCGAUUAUAUGGAGAGUAUCUUCAUUUAUAAUAUUCAUUUCAAGAUAUUCCUCAGUGCCGCCCGAAAUGUGGAUGCUCAUAGUCUCGCUCUACCGACCGCCGCGUAUGUGCAUUGUGAUUGCUGGUGCCGUGAUUCUGUUGUCUGAGGAAAAAGUAAGCACAUCUUCCACAGUACAUGACAAAGGCACCCCUGAGCUCCAAUGAGAUAAACAUCAUCCACCUGCUCUUCUAACUCGGAUGGGGCCAAUUCAUACUCAGAGAGUGGUAGAAGGUCCUCCAGGGCUCUGAAUGCUGCCACGACGGAUUCAAGUUUUUGUACAGCAUGCGCAUCAUGGUGGAGCAAGUCGGGCUGACCACCUGUGCAGCAUGGCAAAGCCAAGUUGAGCAGUCCUGCAAGCGCACCCUGGCAGUGCCAAGUUGGUCAGCCUGGUGCGUGCAUCCUGGCGGAGUGGGUCAGCCUGUGGAAUAAGUCCAGCACCAGCCAAACCAGACCCAAGGAGGAAGCAGCCCGGUGCCAGCCAAGUAGACCGGAGGAGGAAUCACCCCGGCGCCAACCCAGACCGGAGGAGGAAGCCCGGCCCGCCCCAUGUGCUAGUCCAGAGGAAGUCCAUCAACCCUUAAAAUUCAUCAAAGGGGGUGUGGCUACCAGCAUGGUUCUAUGGCUGAUCCAGCAGAGGCUGGACUGCCUUUCUGUGGUUUUCCCCAUCAUGCCGUGAGUCUGAAGUGAUUAAAUAAGAAUAAGGAGAUGAACUUCUUGUACUGAAGUAAGGCUUGAAGGAGCUCUGUGUUCUUGAUCCUCUAUUGUCUUCGGAAGUUUUAAUAUCAUCCAUUUAUCUCCCACUGUUUGU